AUGUGGAUGGCGAAACGGUAUACGCGGCAGAUUUAGGAUCUGCUGGAUUUAUCUUUGUGGGUUCAAAUCCCUCUCCACAUA
rnacentral:tRNA from 1 species